CCUACGGGAGGCAGCAGUGAGGAAUAUUGGUCAAUGGGCGGAAGCCUGAACCAGCCAAGUAGCGUGCAGGAUGACGGCCCUACGGGUUGUCAACUGCUUUUAUACGGGAAUAACGCGCCUUACGUGUAGGGCUUUGCAUGUACCGUAUGAAUAAGGCACGGCUAAUUCCGUGCCAGCAGCCGCGGUAAUACGGAAGGUCCGGGCGUUAUCCGGAUUUAUUGGGUUUAAAGGGAGCGUAGGCCGCGUGUCAAGCGAGCUGUGAAAUGUCCGGGCUCAACCCGGGCCUUGAAGUGCGAACUGGCGUGCUUGAGUGCGCGGAAAGCAGGCGGAAUUCGUCGUGUAGCGGUGAAAUGCUUAGAUAUGACGAAGAACCCCGAUUGCGAAGGCAGCUUGCUGCAGCGGAACUGACGCUGAUGCUCGAAAGCGCGGGUAUCGAACAGGAUUAGAUACCCCAGUAGUC
rnacentral:rRNA from 1 species